UCGCUCCUACCGAUUGAGUGAUCCGGUGAAUACUUCGGAGUGCUGAGUUUGCGGUUUCCGUAGGCUUCGCGCAAAGUUGAAUAAACCUUAUCACUUAGAGGAAGGAG
rnacentral:rRNA from 1 species